UGAAAUGUUCACUCUAGCAGCACAAAAUUGGAAUGAUACAGAGAAGAUGAGCAUGGCCCCUACGCAAAUUUGUUCCAUAGUAAAUAAAGAGAAACAACAACAAAAA